CGUUAUUGGUAUUUUAUUGUGUAAUUUAAAAAAACAAUUUUUUACUUAAGCUUAUUUGGUAAAUACUUUCUUAACUCUUCUUGAACUGCACUAAAGUGGCCAAAUAACUCUUUAAAAUGAAGCACAUUAAUCUGCAUAAAUAACUGGUGUAUAGCCUAACAUGCAUACAAAUCAAAUCUUAUUGGUCACUCUGGGAUAGAAGGAAGAGAGGUCACCUUAGGGAUAGAAGGAAGAGAGGUCACUUUAGGGAUAGAAGGAAGAGAGGUCACCUUAGGCAUAGAAGUUACUUUAGGGAUAGAAAGACGAGAGGUCACUUUAGGGAUAGAAGGAAGAGAGGUCGCCUAGGGAUAGAAGGAAGAGAGGUCACCUUAGGGAUAGAAGUUACUUUAGGGAUAGAAGGACGAGAGUUCACUUUAGGGAUAGAAGGGAGAGAGGUCACUUUAGGGAUAGAAGGAAGAGAGUGCACUUUAGGGAUAGAAGUUACUUUAUGGAUAGAAGGAAGAGAGGUCACUUUAGGGAUAGAAGGAAGAGAGUGCACUUUAGGGAUAGAAGUUACUUUAUGGAUAGAAGGAAGAGAGGUCACUUUAGGGAUAGAAGGAAGAGAGUGCAUUUUAGGGAUAGAAGUUACUUUAGGGAUAGAAGGACAAGAGGUCACUUUAGGGAUAGAAGGAAGAGAGGUCACCUUAGGGAUAGAAGGAAGAGAGGUCACCUUAGGGAUAGAAGGAAGAGAGGUCACCUUAGGGAUAGAAGGAAGAGAGGUCACCUUAGGGAUAGAAGGAAGAGAGGUCACCUUAGGGAUAGAAGGAAGAGAGGUCACCUUAGGGGAUAGAAGGAAGAGAGGUCACCUUAGGGAUAGAAGGAAGAGAGGUCACCUUAGGGAUAGAAGGAAGAGAGAUCACUUUAGGGAUAGAAGGAAGAGAGAUCACCUUAGGGAUAGAAGGAAGAGAGAUCACUUUAGGGAUAGAAGGAAGAGAGGUCACCAGGGUUAGAAGGGAGAGAGGGAGAGGUCACUAGGGUUAGGGUUAGAAGGAAGAGAAGAGAAGGAG
ensembl:lncRNA